rnacentral:rRNA from 1 species
UACGUAGGCAGCGAGCGUUGUUCGGAGUUACUGGGCGUAAAGGGUGUGUAGGCGGUUGUUUAAGUUUGGUGUGAAAUCUCCCGGCUCAACUGGGAGGGUGCAUCGAAAACUGGGGUGCUCGAGGGUGGGAGAGGUAAGCGGAAUUCCUGGUGUAGCGGUGAAAUGCGUAGAUAUCAGGAGGAACACCUGUGGUGUAGACAGCUUACUGGACCACUUCUGACGCUGAGACACGAAAGCGUGGGUAGCAAACAGG